UGAUCCUUUUGAACCGCCAAAUGCAGGACACUCCUGUUCCUGUCAGAGCAGAGCCACACCUGAGCUGUGCUUGCUGAGGAAGCCUCUGAUGGAGUUGUAUUCAACUUGCGGGACGUUCUGGAACUGCUUCACUAGACCCCUUUGCAAGGCCAAAAUCUCAGGCAGGAACUUUACCAGCCUCAGCUCUGCUUCCUGGAGAAGGGAAGACCACCCGAUGUGACCAGUACACUUGACUGCUCCCCAGUACCCCACCACUGCCAGCACACCCACUCACGCCCAUCUUCCAUCUACGCCUCGAUGCUUAGGCACAGGGAGGAGUUUUGUUUGAUCUGCCUAUGCUCCAGCAUUGUGGACAGAGAGGAACAGAGCAGCUGGGAAAGAGCUGCAUCCUUUUCUGUCCGGCUGAGUGAUGAGGGGAGGUCCUCUCCUGGCCUCCAGCUUCCCCACAGGUCACUGCUAAUCCCAACCUGGGUGUGUAUUUCGUCUGUGACUUUAUGCUUCUGGCAAUCAUACGGUUUGAUAUGUAUGAAGGUCUCUAGCCCUGAGUCCUCUGCUACAUCCUAUUCAAAGUCAAAGCACUGAAAGAGUCUGUUAAGAAUGAUUAUACUAUGUAAAAGCCCAGGGCCUUCAGGUCUGCUGGGGAACUCUGCACCGAAAGAGGGAGGGAGACCCAGUAAGGCAGACAUACCUUCUGCAGGAAACGCCAGAGGAUGGGCACUCUUUCUUUGCCGUUUUUCUGUUCCACAAUGUGCUGGAGGUACUCAACUGUAAUUCUUUUCCUGCAGCUCCAAAUCUUAGAGCAAUGGACCACACUCU